CCCAGAGCACCAGCUGGUAAGGAAGCAGCCGCUGUCACUGUGAGGUGCCAGCUCUUCAAUGAGGCAAAAGUAUUCAGGACACAGACAAUUCUCUAGUGCAAGUUACCAGAGUAAGAACAAGGUGUAACAGCCACUUCAUGCGGACCAUGCCCACAUCCAGCAGAGAUGAUGGUACCUUUGGUACCCGACAACUUGCUGCCACGCCAGGACUGAGCACCAGGGAAAUCGGGCCACUGGUGCUCAUGUGAUGAGAAGGAAAAAGAAGCCUGCGUCCGUCCCAUAAAACUGACAAGCCAACAUCCUGUACUCCGCCUCAACCCCAGACACCAGAUGAGUCACCAGAGGGAGUCGGGCGCAGGCGGGGCCUCAGAUCCACGGGAGCACAGCAUGGAAAGAAAGUUGCUGG